GCCCCAGUAGCUCAGAGGAUAGAGCAGCUGCCUUCUAAGCAGUUGGUCACAGGUUCGAUUCCUGUCUGGGGUACCA
rnacentral:tRNA from 2 species